UGACACUACUGCAAUUAGCGCUUUAAGGUCCUGGGUUCGAUUCCUGGGGAGACCCCCGAAUUAGUCGGGAGCGCGAGAUUAUGGCUAGCUGCUGAGAUGUGGAGUUGAGGUCACAGUUGAUGGACCAGAUUCGCACGCUGGAUUGGUGGCGAUUGCCGAACCCUCCGUCUCUUCGGGUGUUCGGGUGAAUGGAUGAGGUGGGGUCCCUGAAGGCUGGAUCCGCCGCCUUGGACUUACAGUUCGUAUGGCGAAGUACAGUGUGGUAGUGGUGGAUGGUGCUAUAAGGUGAUAAAUGAUCUAGAACUGACAAUGUGAUAAAGUGGCCCAGAAGCCUCCCACUCUGUAACAUUACAUUACAUUACACCAGUGAAUGGUAGCCACAGUAAUAGGACCCAACGGGGGUCCGGCACUCUGCUGGUCUUAACAGAGUCAGGGCCUCUGUCAAGCUCCGUUAGACUUAGGAAACACAGUCGGCUAGGCACCACUGUCACCUGUGCAUGGUGAAGGAAUGCCGGAAGAAGCCGGAACAACCGGUGCAAGCCAGCGCAGGAGUAAGAGGGCAGGGAAUGUGAGGAUAUAUUGUGGCCUUCGGAGCGGUAGUGUUGAAGGGCGGUCCUAUCCCAACGUAGAUAGCUGUUAGUUAGGCGAUAAUAGGCGAUGCCUCGAACGUGCCUCGACCUUGCCUCGGCCGUGCCUAGACUUUGCCUCGGCCAUGCCUCGACUUGCCUCGGCCGUACCUCGACCUUGCCUCGGGUCUCUCGGCCGCGUAUCUCGGACGUGUCCUCGUGCCCAGCAUUGAUGGUGGGCGACUGUACGAUACUUCCAUUGGUACUGGUAUGUAUGUUGUUACAGGGUGGUUAACUUCGCCAGCGGCCCCCUUUCCCGGGGCAGUCCCUGCUCUCCCCUGCUAGAGGGGCACCCUAAUCCGUCACCCCAUCCGACUUCAGAAUGUAUUCGUUGGGUUCGGCAACUCACCACCAGCAUCCAACCAAAUCUAGCGGAUCAACGGCGCAUCAACUUAGUUCCUGGUCAGCUCGCAAGUUGAUAUUAUCACGUCCUACACCGUCCAUAAGAUGGGGGGCCACCUCCCAUUUCAUCACUCCUCAAACACCCGAGGAGCCGGCAGGCGGAUUUGAACCCGGGUCGACUGGGUCAACUGGGAGCAGAAGUCAGGCCUUAACCUCUGCCAGCCGCCUGCCUUCUGGUAUAUAUGACACAAGUUAUGCAAGUCUUGGUAUCUCCUUGCCUCCUUCAUAUUCUUAACAGGUUAUGAGCCCCGCCUCCAGGUACUCAUUUAUUGCCGUGUCGUUGGGUGUAUAAGGUUAAGUACAACGAUGACGGCAGCGUGGAGCGUUUUAAGGCGCGAUUGGUUGCGAAGGGUUUCGAGCAACACGAGGGGAUUGAUUAUGGGGAGUGUUUGCCCCUACCUCUCGUGGUUNNNNNNNNNNNNNNNNNNNNNNNNNNNNNNNNNNNNNNNNNNNNNNNNNNGGCGCUAGCGGAAAACUCGUACAUUCCGCGAUCUAACUGCACGUACAUUCCGCGAUCUCACUGCGCCGUCCAGACGGUGCCCUAAUGUCUAUCACUUAGCUACCGGAUAUGCAUCGGUAGCCCCAUAAGGUUCUGGGGUAAGUCUUCCCCAUUAGUCAGGCGCAGACCCGGGGUCAAAUCCCCUGGUCGACAACCACACGAGUUGGGAGAGGGCCGUUUCCUCAACAGAAACACAUCGACGUGCAGCACCACAUAGUGCGUGAGUGGGUGAAUAGCGGGGAGGUGCAGUUUGAGUACUGCCCUACAGAGUUGAUGGUAGUGGAUGCGCUCACGAAGGCACUGGGAGAAGUGAAGUUCAAACGGUGCAGAGAAGCUAUGGGUGUUGUGUGCAGUCCCCAUUGGUCGAGCAAAUGUGCUACUGCGAGUUGGGAUAUGUCCCGAGGGGGCGUGUUGAAGGGCGGUCCUAUCCCAACAUAGAUAGGUGGUAGUUAGGCGAUGAAUCCGUGAUAGGCGAUGCCUCGGACGUGCCUCGACCUUGCCUCGGCCGUGCCUCGACCUUGCCUCGGCCGUGCCUCGACCUUGCCUCGGGUCUCUCGGCCGCGUAUCUCUGACGUGUCCUCUGGUCCAGGGAUGGUGGACGACUGUACGAUACUUCCGUUGGUAUCGGUACAUAAGGCGAGAGUUAAGCAAGUCUUUCUUUCUCAUGUUAGGGGAUAAAUCGGUAUUCCUUAACAGGAAUCUCCUAAAGUCUUCUUGCCGUUCACCAUUAACCCACAGACUGUAACCCUUAUAUCGCGACCAGUCUCCUUGCCUUCAUAUUCUUAACACGCCGUCGACCAUCUUAAAACGGCUGAAUUCUUGACGUAGAGCCACCUUGCGGGCGUUGUUGUUGGCAGCAAACAUAGAGCCCAAGGCGUCCCAGGCCUUCUUCGCGUUGGCAGCACCGGUGACCAUCGGCAAGUGGUGAUUCUUCACGUUCUUGUUAAGCAGAUUGAUGACCUUCCGUGAUUGACGAAUCUGCUCCUCGUUGCACGGCUCGGCGAGCAAGGACUGCUCAAGCCCAAGCUCCAUGCACAUCGUGCUAAACCGGAUUUGCCACGUGGAGUAGUUGUGGAGGUCCAGCGGGUCAUCAAGCGUAUCCUUGACCAUUGUCGGUAAGGGAUAGAAAUAACAAUCGGACGAUAGCUGUCGGCGCUAGACGGGGCUUAUAACCUAUUGGAGAAUUGGCGACGGUGACGGCUAACGCUGAUUGUUAUCUCGGAAGGAAUGCCGGCGGCGAAGAUAUUUAAGCAGCCUCUCGCACAAAUGUGUCCGGUCGUACUUCGCGAAUAAAGAGUUCGUACAUGUCGCCCCAAAAGCCAGGAGCGAUUUUCACCGCGCGGGUGCACGCGUUCGAUUCACAAAUUGCGCGUGUGCAAGUGUAUAAAAUUCUCUCGGCGAAAGGCCGCUCAUCAGGGCAUGUUGGCCGCAGUCACAAGCGGCAUGCAUCUCGGACUUUUGGCUGGCUGCUUAGCCUGAGCUGAAAAAGAUAUGAAAGCAAACAACGUAGCUUGCAAGACUGGGCGCUUGAAACGGCCGCGGAAGAGGAAGCGUUUGGCGAAGCGGCAGUUUGCGCAAGCAAACGAGUUGCGCCAGCGUGUUGCGCAGGUGGGCACGAUGGGCAUAGUCGCACGCGGCAUGCAGCCUAGUCUAUUGCGUGGCUGCUUUGCAGUAACUGAAAGCACCGAAAGCCUACGUCGUAGCUUGCAACACUGGGCUCGUGAAACUGCCGCGGGAAGAGGAAGCGUCUGGCGAAGAGGCAGUCGUGUGCAAGCCAAAAGGCGCCUGCUUUCUGCAGCGCAGCGCAUACAGCACCUUGUUCCGACUCAAGUCAAAUUACAAAGUUGCGCAAAGUAUAACAUACAUAAACUUAAUUAAACAUAAGAACAGAUAAGAUGUUUAGAGCCUUGUCGGUGACAUGGACGCCGCUGUUGGCUUGGAACAGCUAUUUGCUGUGCAUAGGGACGUGCCCGCGUUAGCUGUGUUGCAACAGCUCAGGAUGGAUUUCAGCCAACAAAGCCUCAAGAGCUGCUGCACAACCACCGGUGUGUCUUCAGCUGGACACGUGUAGUUUUGGUCGGCGGGGUCGAGCAUCGUAUGCAUUGCGCACAGAAACCAAGGUGCAGCAUCUCUGUAACAUCGCCAACAUAUCCGGUACGCGGUGGCAGGCUUGCCGAGCACGAAAUGACGGAAGGUCUCAUCUCACCAUUCAACUAAGCAUGCAUGUGCUCGGUUGAAUGCUCGGUAGCAUGCGAGUUUACCUAUCAGGAUGUUUGUUUGCAUAUAUCCCUCCAAGCGAAAGGGCUUGGACCUAUGCUGAUGUUCGUUACAAGAAGUGAACUGAGGACUAAUGCUACACGUCAUGUAUACGCGUUGCUUAGCUUGCAACGAGGCGCGCCCACGAUGAAAGCUUCAGCUACGCUCACAAUACAUUAUACUGCUACACUAUUCUCUCCAGUCCUACCACAUUAUAUUUCACCGACGUACUUUGCCACCUUCCACAUCACCAUACGUGCUUUGGAAACGCGGGCAGCUGCUUCACAAGGGCCCCCAUAUUUAGCACGAUAAAAUGUUAUAAGUUAUGUAAAGAGUAUUAUUAGCGUUCGGCAGGACUUGAGGAGAUUCCUUUGAGGAAUACCGAUCGUUGUGAGAUAAACAAAUAAGCGCAGUCACCGCCCUAAAUACCGGCGCUAGCGGAAAACUCGUACAUUCCACGAUCUACCUGCACGUACAUUCCGCGAUCUCACUGCGCCGUCCUGACGGUGCCCUAAUGUCUAUCACUUAGCUACCGGAUAUGCAUCGGUAGCCCCAUAAAGUUCUGGGGUAAGACUUCCCCUAUAGUUAGUCACAGACCCGGGGUCAAAACCCCUAGUCAACAACCACACGAGUUGGGAGAGGACCGUUCCCUCAACAAAAUUCACACCCUGAUGUGGAAAUGCUGGGGGUUCGGUAUUCAGUCAAGGAACACAAACGUCCUGGCGAGUGGUGACGAAAUGAAUGCGGUCGUACUCUCACAGGCCGAGUCAAUGCUGCAAUAUAUCUGCUUGGACAAACUUGUAUGCCGAAGCAGUCCCAGGUCCACAUGCAGACGACUGGCGGCAGUGAGUGCCGCGAACAUUCUGAAUCCGGUAGACCCCGCUGGACACCGUGGAUUGCAGCAGGCGAUCAUUUGCUGCAACUACAAACAGACGGGCCGUAUAGCUUGGAGUUGCAAAGAGAGCCGCAGCCUAACGUGCAGGGAAGGAGUGGAGGUGGUCUUGGCGACCACACGUGGCAGGUGGGGUAGCAUGCCUCAACAGACAGGCGGUGGCAGCAGUGCAGUGAUGCCGUGUAUUUUUGCUGCAAGAUAAGAACCACUAUUAAGGUUAAGGGGAAUUGUGUGACUCCGAAGCGGCUAGUAUUGGUGUACCUGAGUCUGUUGGAACUGACCGACACUCAUAUACCAGUGAAUGAUAGCCACACUCAUAUACCAGUGAAUGGUAGUCACAGUGAAUGGUAGCCACAGUAAUAGGACCCAGUAUGAUACCAGUGAAUGGUAGCCACAGUAAUAGGACCCAACGGGGGUCCGGCACUCUGCUGGUCUUAACAGAGUCAGGGCCUCUGUCAAGCUCCGUUAGACUUAGGAAACACAGUCGGCUAGGCACCACUGUCACCUGUGCAUGGUGAAGGAAUGCCGGAAGAAGCCGGAACAACCGGUGCAAGCCAGCGCAGGAGUAAGAGGGCAGGGAAUGUGAGGAUAUAUUGUGGCCUUCGGAGCGGUAGUGUUGAAGGGCGGUCCUAUCCCAACGUAGAUAGCUGUUAGUUAGGCGAUGAUAGGCGAUGCCUCGAACGUGCCUCGACCUUGCCUCGGCCGUGCCUAGACCUUGCCUCGGCCAUGCCUCGACUUGCCUCGGCCGUACCUCGACCUUGCCUCGGGUCUCUCGGCCGCGUAUCUCGGAUGUGUCCUCGUGCCCAGCAUUGAUGGUGGGCGACUGUACGAUACUUCCAUUGGUACUGGUAUAUAUGACACAAGUUAUGCAAGUCUUGGUAUCUCCUUGCCUCCUUCAUAUUCUUAACAGGUUAUGAGCCCCGCCUCCAGGUACUCAUUUAUUGCCGUGUCGUUGGGUGUAUAAGGUUAAGUACAACGAUGACGGCAGCGUGGAGCGUUUUAAGGCGCGAUUGGUUGCGAAGGGUUUCGAGCAACACGAGGGGAUUGAUUAUGGGGAGUUGUUUGCCCCUACCUCUCGUGGUUCGUCAUUACGUGCUUUAUUAGCAGUUGCCGCGAAAAUUCUGUAUCUGGUUGACCCAACUGGACAGCGUGGAUUGCAGCAGGCGAUCAUUUGCUACAACUACCAGCAGACGGGCCGUAUAGCUCGGAGUUGCAGAGAGCCGCAGCCUUACGUGCAGAGAAUGAGUGGAGGUGGUCUUGGCGACCACACGUGGCAGGUGGGGUAGCAUGCCUCAACAGACAGGCGGUAACGGCAGUGCAGUGAUGCCGUGUAUUUUUUUGCUGCAAGAUAAGAACCACUAUGAAUUGUCUGACUCCGAAUCGGCUAGUAUUGGUGUACCUGAGUCAGGGCCUCUGCCAAGCUCCGUUAGACUUAGGAAACACAGUCGGCUGGGCACCACUGUCACCUGUGGAUGGUGAAGGAAUGCCGGAUGAAGCCGAAGCAUCUAGUGGUGCAAGCCAGCACAGGAGUUCAGAAGAAUAGGGCAGGGAAUAUGAGGAGAUAUUAUAGCCCUCGGGGUGGUGAUAUGGUGUUGCAGGAAGGAGGAUAGUAGGUUGCAUUAACGUGGCUGUCACUGAUCCGUACGUACCCUGCUGAACUUUUGCUAAGUAAUACUUUCACUGAAGCCAUUUCAGGAGCAGGGGCAAAUGAGUGGCGCAUAGUGAUGGUCAACUGCACUUGUGUGCUGUGUGUACAACCUUAUGCUGUGCAUGUGCCACCUAUGGUGGUUGUACAAGUUGAAAAGAGUGGAAGGUGACACGGUCAAGCGCUUUUUUGCAUGGCUAGGUGCAAAGAUGUACGAGAAGUACGAGAACUUGGAGAAGCGCAGGUGUUUUCGGGCAUGGAAAUACUGAGGAUGAAUUAGUGUUGUCGCAAUAUUGAGCAGCUAUUGGAGCGUCACCAGGCGGUGGACGCCAAGCCACGGUCUACCCCUUUGCCUCCAGGUUUUAGUUGCACACCUACGGGGGAUAGAGAUGAGCUGCUGGGUAUUCCCAUGGUGCAUAGGGCUUUGGUGGGAAAGUUGGACUACCUAGCGACUAACACUCGGCCUGACAUUCCUUAUGCAUGGAGUGUUUUGUCCCGGCUUAUGGCCACACCUAAGAAGAGUGCCAUGAACUUGGCAACUGGUGUUCUACGUUACCUGGCGGGUACUCGCGAACUAGGAUUGCGUUUUGGGGGUGUUGGCGGUGUUGCAAUGUCUGGGUACAGUGAUUCGGACUGGGCAGGAGACCCAGUUACGCAGCGUUCUACGUCCGGUUACGUAUUCACUCUUAAUGGAGCUGCGAUUAGCUGGAGCAGCCAACUUCAACGUACUGUGGCGGCUUCGUCGGUGGAGGCCGAGUACCAAGGUCCAGGUCCUCUCCCAACUCGUGUGGUUGUCGACCAGGGGAUUUGACCCCGGGUCUGCGCCUAACUAACGGGGAAGACUUAACCCAGAACCUUAAGUUAGGCGAUGAUAGGCAAUGCCUCGAACGUGUCUCGACCUUGCCUCGGCCGUGCCUAGACCUUGCCUCGGCCAUACCUCGACUUGCCUCGGCCGUACCUCGACCUUGCCUCGAGUCUCUCGGCCGCGUAUCUCGGACGUGACCUCGGGUCCAGGGAUGGAUCUGUACGAUACUUCCAUUGUUACUGGUCUGGUCUGUACGAUACUUCCAUUGUUACUGGUCUGGUCUGGGUUGACACUACUGCAAUUAGCGGUUUAAGGUCCUAGGUUCGAUUCCUGGGGAUACCCCCGAAUUAGUCGGGAGCGCGAGAUUAUGGCUAGCUGCUGAGAUGUGGAGUUGAGGUCACAGUUGAUGGACCAGAUUCGCACGCUGGAUUGGUGGCGAUUGCCGAACCCUCCGUCUCUUCGGGUGUUCGGGUGAAUGGAUGAGGUGGGGCCCCUGAAGGCUGGAUCCGCCGCCUUGGACUUACAUACAGUUCGUAUGGCGAAGUACAGUGUGGUAGUGGUGGAUGGUGCUAUAAGGUGAUAAAUGAUCUAGAACUGACAAUGUGAUAAAGCGGCCCAGAAGCCUCCCACUCUGUAACAACAUUACAAUUACAAUUACAAUUACAUUGUUACUGGUAUAUAAGACACGAGUUGUGCUAGUCUUAGUAUCUCAUCUUUGUAUGGAUCGCUAUUCCUUAGUAGGAAUCUCCUAAAGUCUUCUUGCCGUUUACCACUCACCCACCGAUUGUAAUACUUAUAUCGCAACCAGUCUCCUUGCCUCCUUCAUAUUCAUAACAAUUAUGGGGAGUUGAUGUUGUUACAGGGUGGUUAAGCUUCACCAGUGGCCUCCUUCCCGAGGCAGUUCCCUGCUCUCCCCUGCUAGAAGGGCACCCUAAGCCAUUCACCCCAUCCGACUUCAGAGUGUACUCUUUGAGUUUGGCAACUCACAACCAGCAUCCAACCAAAUCUAGCGGAUCAACGGCGCAUCAACUUAGUUCCUGGUCAGCUCGCGAGUUGAUUUUACCAUAUCCUACAUCGUCCACAAGAUUGGGGGCCACCUCACAUUUCAUCACCUCUCAAACACCACGAGAGGUCGGCAGGCGGAUUUGAUCCCGGACGCGCCGGACCACGUCGGGAGCAGAAGCCAGGCCUUAACCUCUGCCAGCCGCCUGCCAGCCGCCUGCUGGGAGUUGUUUGCUCCUCUCGUGGUUUAUCUUUAUGGAGCUGUUUGCUCCUCUCGUGGUUCAUCUUUACGUGCUUUAUUAGCAGUUGCCGCAGCGUGGAACAUGACGGUGCACCAGCUCGAUGUGUCUACUGCGUUUUUGAACGGUGAGCUGAAGGAGGAGUUGUGGAUGGAGCAACCGCCUGGUUAUGCAUCCAGUGACCGGUCGCUUGCGUGCAAGCUGCAGAGGUCUAUGUAAGGUUUGAAGCAGGCACCCAUUUGCUGGUAUGAGAAACUAUCAGCAGAGCUCGCCAAGCUGGGUCUUUAUCCUUCGAAGUCUGAUCCGGGAAUGUUCGUUAAGUGUUAAGAAUAUGAAGGCAAGGAGACUGGUCGCGAUAUAAGGGUUACAGUCUGUGGGUUAGUGGUGAACGGCAAGAAGACUUUAGGAGAUUUCUAGGAAGGAAUACCGAUCCAUCCGAAGAUGAGAUAGAAAGACAUGCACCACUCUGGUCUUAAGUACCGAUACCAACGGAAGUAUCGUACAGUCGUCCACCAUCCCUGGACACGAGGACACGUCCGAGAUACGCGGCCGAGAGACCCGAGGCAAGGUCACCGAGGCACGGCCGCGGCAAGGUCGAGGCACGUCCGAGGCAUCGCCUAUCACGGCGGAUUCAUCGCCUAUCUACCACCUAUCUAUGUUUGAAUAGGACCGCCCUUUAACAUUAAGACGGACGAGCGUGGGGUUGUUCUGUUAAGACCAGCAAAGCGCCGGACCCCGUUGGGUCCUAUUACUGUGGCUACCAUUCACUGGUAUAUGAGUGUCGGUCAUUUCCAUCACCCCCCCGUGAGAGACACACUAUCGCUACGGGCCGACCCGUGCCUCAUCCCGGUCUCCCAUUCUCUGGGCAACAGCCAGUGGGAUCGAUCCGGCGACCUCCCGGCAGCGCAAUGCGCCAUUCGGGGCUCAUAACCUAUUGAAGAAUUGGCGACGGUGACGGCUAACGCUGAUUGUUAUUUCGGAAGAAUUGCCGGCGGCGAAGAUAUUUAGCACGAUAAAAUGUUACAAGUUAUGUAAAGAGUAUUAUUAGCGUUCGGCAGGACUUGAGGAGAUUCCUUUGAGGAAUACCGAUCGUUGUGAGAUAAACAGAUAAGCGCAGUCACCGCCCUAAAUACCGGCGCUAGCGGAAACCCGUACAUUCCGCGAUCUAACUGCACGUACAUUCCGCGAUCUCACUGCGCCGUCCUGACGGUGCCCAAUGUCUAUCACUUAGCUACCGGACAGUAUUCCAACUGCACCUCACCACUAUUCACCCUCUCACGCACUAUGUGAUGCUGCACGUCGAUGUGCUUCGACCGAGCAGACGUAAUCGGGUUAUUUCCCAAGCUAAGCGCCCCCUGGGAAUCUAUUUGAAUCUUGAUAGCGCUCUCAGGCAAACCCAAGUCAACCAUCAGCUUGCGAAGCCACAAAGCCUCGCGAACAGCUGCCGCUGUCGCUUGAUACUCGGCCUCCACCGACGAAGCUGCCACAGUACGUUGAAGUUGACUGCUCCAGCUAAUCGCAGCCCCAUUAAGAGUGAAAACGUAGCCGGAAGUAGAACGCCGCGUAACCGGGUCUCCUGCCCAGUCAGAAUCGCUAUACCCGGACAUAGCAAUGUCGCCAACACCCCCAAAACGCAAUCCUAGUUCGCGAGUACCCGCCAGGUAACGCAGAACGCCGAUUGCUAAGUUCAUGGCAGUCUUCGUGGGUGCGGCCAUAUGCCGGGACAAAACGCUCAAUGCAUAUGAAAUGUCAGGCCGCGUGUUCGUCGCCAGAUAGUUCAAUUCUCCCACCAAAGCCCUAUACUCGGUGGGAUUGCCCAGCAGCUCCUCUCCGUCCCCCGUAGGAGUGUACCUAAAGCCCGGAGGCAAAGGGGUAGACCUCGGCUUGGCGUCAAUCAUCCUAUGACGCUCCAACAGCUGCGUAAUAUACCUAUGCUGCGACAACACUAUCUCACCCGACUUCUCCCUCCUAAUUUCCAUGCCCCAAAACACCUUCGCUUCUCCAAGGUCGCGCACCUUGAAGACCUUAGCAAUUGCAGGUUUAAUUGCCCGGACCAUUUCCGGGUCUUCCGACGCAACAAUGGUAUCAUCUACGUGCACCAAAGCAAUAACAACCCCACGCUCGUCAGUCUUAACAAACAUCGCCGGAUCAGACUUCGAAGGAUAAAGACCCAGAUUGGCGAACUCUGCUGAUAGUUUCUCAUACCAGCAACGGGGUGCCUGCUUCAAACCGUAAAUCGAUUUCUGCAGCUUGCACGCAAGCGACCGGUCACUGGAUGCAUACCCAGGCGGUUGCUCCAUCCACAACUCCUCCUUCAGCUCACCAUUCAAAAACGCAGUAGACACAUCGAGCUGAUGCACCGUCAUGUUCCGCGCUGCGGCAACUGCUAAUAAAGCACGUAAUGACGAACCACGAGAGGUAGGGGCAAACAACUCCCCAUAAUCAAUCCCCUCGCGUUGCUCGAAACCCUUGGCAACUAAGCGCGCCUUAAAGCGCUCCACAUUACCGUCUGCAUCAUGCUUCACCUUAUACACCCAGCGACAAGGCAGUAAACGUGUACCAGGCGGCGGCUUCUUAAGCUCCCAGGUAUGGUCGGCCAUCUAAGCGGCGAUCUCCUCAUCCAUCGCACGCCGCCAGUCUUCUGCAUGUGGACUUGCAAUGGCUUCCGCAAACGAAUUAGGUUCAGGAAUAUCAGCAGAGAAAGCAGCGUUAACACGACAAGUGACAGUGCGACCAGGUUCGUUUCACCACCAUUCGCCAGGGUGUUUCCGUUCUCUAACUGGAUAUCGUGUCCCUGCCAUUUCCACAUCAGGCUGAUUGUUACCUUGCACGUUUGCACUGCUGGAUGGUCCAGCCCCAGCCGGCGCCCCCUCGCCACCCAAAUGCGGCGAUCCCUAACCGACGGUGCUACCUGGUAUCCCUUCGCCAGCCAUAGGCAGCGAUCCCUCACCAGGCAAACUAGUGCGAAACUCCUCCUCCUCGUCGGCAUCGGAUUCAUAAUCAGAAUCCCCGGCAUUACGCCGCCGGCCGACGUUAGACUCGUCAAAGCGAACGUUAGAAACUACGGCAAUAAUGCCGUCCUCGUAUAGCACACGAUACUGUCCUCCGUUNNNNNNNNNNNNNNNNNNNNNNNNNNNNNNNNNNNNNNNNNNNNNNNNNNAUACUGAGGAUGAAUUAGUGUUGUCGCAAUAUUGAGCAGCUAUUGGAGCGUCACCAGGCGGUGGACGCCAAGCCACUGUCUACCCCUUUGCCUCCAGGUUUUAGUUGCACACCUACGGGGGAUAGAGAUGAGCUGCUGGGUAUUCCCAUGGUGCAUAGGGCUUUGGUGGGAAAGUUGGACUACCUAGCGACUAACACUCGGCCUGACAUUCCUUAUGCAUGGAGUGUUUUGUCCCGGCUUAUGGCCACACCUAAGAAGAGUGCCAUGAACUUGGCAACUGGUGUUCUACGUUACCUGGCGGGUACUCGCGAACUAGGAUUGCGUUUUGGGGGUGUUGGCGGUGUUGCAAUGUCUGGGUACAGUGAUUCGGACUGGGCAGGAGACCCAGUUACGCAGCGUUCUACGUCCGGUUACGUAUUCACUCUUAAUGGAGCUGCGAUUAGCUGGAGCAGCCAACUUCAACGUACUGUGGCGGCUUCGUCGGUGGAGGCCGAGUACCAAGGUCCAGGUCCUCUCCCAACUCGUGUGGUUGUCGACCAGGGGAUUUGACCCCGGGUCUGCGCCUAACUAACGGGGAAGACUUAACCCAGAACCUUAAGUUAGGCGAUGAUAGGCAAUGCCUCGAACGUGUCUCGACCUUGCCUCGGCCGUGCCUAGACCUUGCCUCGGCCAUACCUCGACUUGCCUCGGCCGUACCUCGACCUUGCCUCGAGUCUCUCGGCCGCGUAUCUCGGACGUGACCUCGGGUCCAGGGAUGGAUCUGUACGAUACUUCCAUUGUUACUGGUCUGGUCUGUACGAUACUUCCAUUGUUACUGGUCUGGUCUGGGUUGACACUACUGCAAUUAGCGGUUUAAGGUCCUAGGUUCGAUUCCUGGGGAUACCCCCGAAUUAGUCGGGAGCGCGAGAUUAUGGCUAGCUGCUGAGAUGUGGAGUUGAGGUCACAGUUGAUGGACCAGAUUCGCACGCUGGAUUGGUGGCGAUUGCCGAACCCUCCGUCUCUUCGGGUGUUCGGGUGAAUGGAUGAGGUGGGGCCCCUGAAGGCUGGAUCCGNNNNNNNNNNNNNNNNNNNNNNNNNNNNNNNNNNNNNNNNNNNNNNNNNNNNNNNNNNNNNNNNNNNNNNNNNNNNNNNNNNNNNNNNNNNNNNNNNNNNNNNNNNNNNNNNNNNNNNNNNNNNNNNNNNNNNNNNNNNNNNNNNNNNNNNNNNNNNNNNNNNNNNNNNNNNNNNNNNNNNNNNNNNNNNNNNNNNNNNNNNNNNNNNNNNNNNNNNNNNNNNNNNNNNNNNNNNNNNNNNNNNNNNNNNNNNNNNNNNNNNNNNNNNNNNNNNNNNNNNNNNNNNNNNNNNNNNNNNNNNANUUCCGCUAUCAUUACCACCAUCUUCUGAUAGACCUCCUCCUUGGUCCGUGUAAAUGCAACAGCUGAAAGACCAGUAUGAUCGUCAAGCAGAGUUGUCACGUAACGCGAACCACUAGGCGAAGGUUCAGGCAUAGGUCCACACACAUCCAUGUGGACUUAUGCUAGUGGCUGUGCUGCUUUUGCCCUGUUAGCGGAAAAGGACCACGUGUAUGCUUAGCAAGGACGCAAGUCUCACACACACACGCGCUGGCUGAUUGUAUGCUGUGUCGGUCAAUAUUGAACCCAGUUACCAUAUUAUGACGCAGCAACGCCUCAAGGUUGCUGUAUCCCAAAUGGCCAUACCGUCGGUGCCAAAGUGCUGCACGUUCAGCUCCGAUACUCUGCAGCACACACUGCAUCACCACCAGAAGGUAUCCUGUUGAUGUUACAGGGUGGUUAAGCUUCACCAGUGGCCCCCACCAGUCGACCCAACUGGACAGCGCGGAUUGCAGCAGGCGAUCGCUUGCUACAACUACCAACAGACGGGCCGUAUAGCUCGGAGUUGCAGAGAGAGCUGCAGCCUAACGUGCAGGGAAGGAGUGGAGGUGGUCUUGGUGCCCGCACCCGCACGCGGCAGGUGGGGUAGCAUGCCUCAACAGACAGGCGGUGGCGACAGUGCAGUGAUGCCGUGUAUUCUUUGCUGCACGAGAAAAGCAACUUUCUUGGAUAAGGGGAAUUGUCUGACUCCGAAGCAGCUAGUAUUGGUGUACCUAAGUCAGGGCCUCCGUAAGCUCUGGUAGACUCAGGAACCACAGUCGGCUAGGCACCACUGUCCCCUGUGGAUGGUGAAGGAAUGCCGGAUGAAGCCGGAACAUCCAGUGGUGCAAGCCAGCGCAGGAUGUCAGAAGAAGAGGGCAGGGAAUAUGAGGAGAUAUUAUAGCCCUCGGAGUGGUGACAUGGUGUUGCAGGAAGGAGGAUAGUAGGUCGCAUUAACGUGGCUGUCACUUAUCCGUACCCUGCUGAACCUUUGCUGAGUAAUACUUUCACUGAAGCCAUUUCAGGUGCAAAUGCAAAUGAGUGGCGCAGAGUGAUGUGCACAGCCUCAUGAUGUGCAUGUGCUACUGUACCGGUGGGUAUACAAAUUGAAAACACUGGAAAAUGACAGUGUCAAGCGCUCUUUUGCAUGGCUACUUGCAAAGGUGUACGAGAAGUACGAGACCUUGGUGAAGUGCAGGUGUUGUCAGGCAUGGAAAUUAUGAGGAUGAAGCCGGGCAAAUUGGUGUUGUCGCAUUGUAGGUAUAUUGAGCAGCUAUUGGAGCAUCAUCAGACGGUGGAUGCCGAGCCACGAUCUACCCCUUUGCCUUCGGGUUUUAUGUGCACNNNNNNNNNNNNNNNNNNNNNNNNNNNNNNNNNNNNNNNNNNNNNNNNNNUUUGUCUAGGAGAGUGCGAUUCAAAUGUUCCGCAGCUCCGUUCUGCUCAUGGGCCUCUGUAGCCUACCGUAGUUCCGUGUACAAUACCCCUGGACGCGAAAUAGCCCUUCGUGCGAGUAUUAAUGAACUCCCCACCACGAUCCGUACGCACCUCCUUAACCUGCCUGCCAGAAGCGCGCUCCAGUUCCGCUAUCAUUACCACCAUCUUCUGAUAGACCUCCUCCUUGGUCCGUGUAAAUGCAACAGCUGAAAGACCAGUAUGAUCGUCAAGCAGAGUUGUCACGUAACGCGAACCACUAGGCGAAGGUUCAGGCAUAGGUCCACACACAUCCAUGUGGACUAAUGCUAGUGGCUGUGCUGCUUUUGCCCUGUUAGCGGAAAAGGACCACGUGUAUGCUUAGCAAGGACGCAAGUCUCACACACACACGCGCUGGCUGAUUGUAUGCUGUGUCGGUCAAUAUUGAACCCAGUUACCAUAUUAUGACGCAGCAACGCCUCAAGGUUGCUGUAUCCCAAAUGGCCAUACCGUCGGUGCCAAAGUGCUGCACGUUCAGCUCCGAUACUCUGCAUCACCUACUCUGCAGCACACACUGCAUCACCACCAGAAGGUAUCCUGUUGAUGUUACAGGGUGGUUAAGCUUCACCAGUGGCCCCCACCAGUCGACCCAACUGGACAGCGCGGAUUGCAGCAGGCGAUCGCUUGCUACAACUACCAACAGACGGGCCGUAUAGCUCGGAGUUGCAGAGAGAGCUGCAGCCUAACGUGCAGGGAAGGAGUGGAGGUGGUCUUGGUGCCCGCACCCGCACGCGGCAGGUGGGGUAGCAUGCCUCAGACAGGCGGUGGCGACAGUGCAGUGAUGCCGUGUAUUCUUUGCUGCACGAGAAAAGCAACUUUCUUGGAUAAGGGGAAUUGUCUGACUCCGAAGCGGCUAGUAUUGGUGUACCUAAGUCAGGGCCUCCGUAAGCUCUGGUAGACUCAGGAACCACAGUCGGCUAGGCACCACUGUCCCCUGUGGAUGGUGAAGGAAUGCGGGAUGAAGCCGGAACAUCCAGUGGUGCAAGCCAGCGCAGGAUGUCAGAAGAAGAGGGCAGGGAAUAUGAGGAGCUAUUAUAGCCCUCGGAGUGGUGACAUGGUGUUGCAGGAAGGAGGAUAGUAGGUCGCAUUAACGUGGCUGUCACUUAUCCGUACCCUGCUGAACCUUUGCUGAGUAAUACUUUCACUGAAGCCAUUUCAGGUGCAAAUGCAAAUGAGUGGCGCAGAGUGAUGUGCACAGCCUCAUGAUGUGCAUGUGCUACUGUACCGGUGGGUAUACAAAUUGAAAACACUGGAAAAUGACAGUGUCAAGCGCUCUUUUGCAUGGCUACUUGCAAAGGUGUACGAGAAGUACGAGACCUUGGUGAAGUGCAGGUGUUGUCAGGCAUGGAAAUUAUGAGGAUGAAGCCGGGCAAAUUGGUGUUGUCGCAUUGUAGGUAUAUUGAGCAGCUAUUGGAGCAUCAUCAGACGGUGGAUGCCGAGCCACGAUCUACCCCUUUGCCUUCGGGUUUUAUGUGCACACCUACGGAUGAUACAGAUGAGCUGCUGGGUAAUCCCACGGAGUACAGGGCUUUGGUGGGAGAGUGCUGGAUUUUCACCGGGCUCUCAGGCAAGCUCAAAUCAACCAUCAGCUUGCGAAGCCACAAAGCCUCACGAACAGCCGCCGCUGUAGCUUGGUACUCAGCCUCCACCGACGAAGCCGCCACAGUACGUUGAAGUUGGCUGCUCCAGCUAAUCGCAGCCCCAUUAAGAGUGAAUACGUAACCGGACGUAGAACGCCGCGUAACUGGGUCUCCUGCCCAGUCCGAAUCACUGUACCCGGACAUAGCAACGUCGCCAACACCCCCAAAACGCAAUCCUAGUUCGCGUGUACCCGCCAGGUAACGCAGAACGCCGGUUGCCAAGUUCAUGGCAGUCUUCGUAGGUGCGGCCAUAUGCCGGGACAAAACGCUCAAUGCAUAUGAAAUGUCAGGCCGCGUGUUCGUCGCCAGAUAGUUCAAUUCUCCCACCAAAGCCCUAUACUCUGUGGGAUUGCCCAGCAGCUCCUCUCCGUCCCCCUUAGGAGUGUACCUAAAGCCCGGAGGCAAAGGGGUAGACCUCGGCUUGGCGUCAAUCAUCCUAUGACGCUCCAACAGCUGCGCAAUAUACCUAUGCUGCGACAACACUAUCUCACCCGACUUCUCCCUCCUAAUUUCCAUGCCCCCAAACACNNCUUCGCUUCUCCAAGGUCGCGCACCUUGAAGACCUUAGCAAUUGCAGCUUUAAUUGCCCGGACCAUUUCCGGGUCUUCCGACGCAACAAUAGUGUCAUCUACGUGCACCAAAGCAAUAACAACCCCACGCUCGUCAGUCUUAACGAACAUCGCCGGAUCAGACUUCGAAGGAUAAAGACCCAACUUGGCGAACUCUGCUGAUAGUUUUUCAUACCAGCAACGGGGUGCCUGCUUUAAACCGUAAAUAGACUUCUGCAGCUUGCACGCAAGCGACCGGUCACUGGAUGCAUACCCAGGCGGUUGCUCCAUCCACAACUCCUCCUUCAGCUCACCAUUCAGAAACGCAGUAGACACAUCCAGCUGAUGUACCGUCAUGUUCCGGGCUGCGGCAACUGCUAAUAAAGCACGCAAUGACGAACCACGAGAGGUAGGGGCAAACAACUCCCCAUAAUCAAUCCCCUCGCGUUGCUCGAAACCCUUGGCAACUAAACGCGCCUUAAAACGCUCCACGCUGCCGUCAUCGCUGUACUUAACCUAAUAUACCCAACGACACGGCAACAAACGAGUACCAGGAGGUGGCUUCUUCAACUCCCAAGUACUAUUAGCCAUCUGGGCGGCGAUCUCCUCGUCCAUCGCACGCCGCCAGUCGUCUGCAUGUGGACUUGCAAUUGCUUCCUCAAACGAAUUAGGCUCAGGAAUACCAGCAGAGAAAGCAGCGUUAACGCGACCAGUGACAGUGCGACCAGGUUCGUUUCGCCACCAUUCGCCAGGGCGUUUACGCUCUCUAACUGGGUACCUAGUUCCCGCCAUUUCCACAUCAGGCUGAUUGAUUCCUUGCCCGUUCGCACUGCUGGAAGGUCCAGCCCCAGCCGGCGCCCCCUCGCCACCCAAUAAUGCCGUCCUCGUAUAGUACACGAUACUGUCCACCGUUCCCGUAUCCGACAAGUAUUCCACGCCUGCUCACCGGGUCGAACUUGUCGCGCUUGACGUCGGGUACGUGGACGUAGGCAACACAUCCAAAGACUCGCAGGUGACUGACGUUCGGACGAACGUUAAAGAAAGCUUCGUACGGAGUGACGGUUGACCCAGCAGUUGGCGACACAUUCCUAAGAGUCUGGUCUGGGUUGACACUACUGCAAUUAGCGGUUUAAGGUCCCGGGUUCGAUUCCUGGGGAGACCCCCGAAUUAGUCGGGAGCGCGAGAUUAUGGCUAGCUGCUGAGAUGUGGAGUUGAGGUCACAGUUGAUGGACAAGAUUCGCACGCUGGAUUGGUGGCGAUUGCCGAACCCUCCGUCUCUUCGGGUGUUCGGGUGAAUGGAUGAGGAGGGGUCCCCGAAGGCUGGAUCCGCCGCCUUGGACUUACAGUUCGUAUGGCGAAGUACAGUGUGGUAGUGGUGGAUGGUGCUAUAAGGUGAUAAAUGAUCUAGAACUGACAAUGUGAUAAAGCGGCCCAGAAGCUUCCCACUCUGUAACAUUAC
rnacentral:lncRNA from 1 species